GAGAAAAAAUAACUUUCAAGUAAUGUCCAAUUAUUUUGUUCAUAUUUGAACAGCCUGUUAGGAAUGAAUGAAUGUACUUCCCUGUUUAAUACAUGCAUAUCUUCUUUUAUUUAGAGAGGAUAGAGAAAAAACCCUGCAAGAGAAGAUGGAGAUGGAAGAGGAGAUGCUUCAGAUAUGUCAAAAUCUACUCCAGGGAAAUGAAGAGUGGCAGAAAACCUGGAUGGACUUCAUAGAACAUACUGGAUAUUUCUUUGAUGACAGUGCUCCAGGAUCUCCCCUGUUAUAUUUUGCUGUCAUAAUCAAUCAUGAAAUUAAAUCAACCAAUGGGAUCGUAGAGCUUUGUUUAUUUAAAUAGGACCUUUGUUGAGAGAUACCAUUGAAGAAAUUAAAUCGACAACCCAAUCGCUGAACACACUUGGCUCGAUUUGAUAGAAAUAUUGGGGCUAAGAGGCUUUGACGGAGUGAGCUUGUAGCUAAGCGUUCUACCCGCAUUGAAUACUAGAGAU